AAUCAGAAAAAAAAAAAAAGACAUGCGCUCGCUAUGUUCCACACGGACCUAAAAGAGGGACGGACAAUGAAAGAAAAAAAAGCGGAAAAGAAAGCCAAACAGAGAGGACUGGAGUUUGGGGACGCUUCAUCAGAAAUCCCGGAAUUUGUGCAGAUCUGGACAAAUCUGUAAACGAGCGGAGAGGCAGCCGGUUUUUACCUGCUUUGGACCAUUCAUGGAAUAUCAUGACACACAUUUAAUAAAUGGAGGAUAAAAAAUGAAGAAAACUGCUUGGUCCUUUGAGUAAAAUCCCUGUUAAUAAGAGUUUACAUCAUUCUGUCCAUCCCUUCUCAAGUGGGGAAGCUGCAUAAAUUAGAAAAUAACUUGACAGUAAAAACCGGCCACAGUAUAAACCAGCGGCAUUGAAAAACCGACCACAAACUGCUGAUGAGAAA